rnacentral:rRNA from 1 species
CAGCGCCGCGGUAAAACGAAGGGGGCUAGCGUUGUUCGGAAUCACUGGGCGUAAAGCGCACGUAGGCGGACUUUUAAGUCAGGGGUGAAAUCCCAAGGCUCAACCUUGGAACUGCCUUUGAUACUGGAAGUCUUGAGUUCGGGAGAGGUGAGUGGAACUGCGAGUGUAGAGGUGAAAUUCGUAGAUAUUCGCAAGAACACCAGUGGCGAAGGCGGCUCACUGGCCCGAUACUGACGCUGAGGUGCGAAAGCGUGGGGAGCAAACAGGAUUAGAUACCCCAGUAGUCCCUGUCUCUUAUACC